AACUUUGAAAUUUUUACUCAUACUCACAGGCUCAACCUCUCUCUCCCUGCUCGACUCUCUCUAGAAAAUUGAAAUACCCUCUCUCGCUAAUCUAGGGCUAAUCUGUCUCAUCUCUCUGGCCGCUAUUUUCUCAGUCACGCUACCACUUUCAAUCAUUAUCGAUUUAUGUUUCUAAUCGAUUUAUGUUUCUAAUUGGGGACAAUUGAAUUGAGGGUCGAGGCUUCGAUUCUUCAAUUAGGGCGUGGCUGCUUCAAUCAUGCUUUGAUUCUUCAUUAAACUUCAAUUAAAGUUCAAGUACUUACAUAUAAUCCCUUAAAUUUCAUCUAAUCUCUCUAUCUCUCUUUGAUUUCAGGUGUUCUUCGUUUGGGUUUGCACUUGAAGACUUGUUUUAAGGCCUUGCUGUUAGUAAGAGACAUACCUAUAUGUUCUCUGCGGGUGAUGACAAACAAGUUAAAUGCUGGGAUCUUGAAUAAAAUAAGGUUAUGAGGUCUUACCAUGAUCACCUAAGUGGAGUUUAUUACUUGGCUAUGCAUCCUAAUAUUGACAUUUGGCUUACACGGGGUCGUGAUUCUGUGUGUCGGGUAUGAUUGUAUUAAUCUAAAAUAUUAUGCUACCUGUGAUUUGACAUUCUUUUGGCACAUGUUUCAGGGAAGCUCAGUUUCCGUUGCUAUAAAGCCAAGGUAGUGGUUUGGUAUAUAAUGGAACUGCCUUGCCCAAGUUGCAGAGGAAGAGGUUACACUCUUAUGUACAGAAUGCGGAAUAGAAAGAUCUAAAAAUCUUAUGUACAGAAUGCGGAAUAGAAAGAUCUAAAAAAGAUUGUGCCCAGUGUGAUGGCAAGGGAAUGAAUACUUGCGAGUAGUGCAAGGGAGAUCGUGUAAUGGAAGAGUCAAUUGAUGAACGACCAUGAGAUCAAUGUAUAAAGAUGAGUUAGAAGCAGGGUAUAAAUCCGUAUGUUUGUUGGAUGAAAUUGUUGGUUGAAAAGUGAAUAUUAGUUGGUAAAUAUAAUUAGUUAGUGGAUAUUUAGUUGGUGGAUAUAUGUUGGUGGAUAUUGGUGAUUGAUAUUUGGUUUGUACUUGGUUGGUUGUUAUGUUGGUAAUGAAAAUUUUUGUUUACCAA